rnacentral:lncRNA from 1 species
GUCCACCUCCCAAGACCAGCGCUCUUCAUUGGACAGUCUGCGCAGCCUGGAGCUGCAUCCUGACUGACGAGGGGGGGAGGCAGGGGCUGCACCCUGAGGCCCGAGUGACCGGGGAGGCGAUCCCCUACUUGGCUGGGUGGAGCCUAAAUGACAGAUUCCAGCUCAGCUCUUCCUAACCUGGGCGGCCCCCACCCCGAGCUUGGAAAUGGCCUGGACAGGAAAUAAUUAUAAAUUAUUCAUAUGUUUAUAUAUUCUGCUUAAAUCAGCAGAACUUGCUCCUGGCUUUCAAGAGUGGACAAUGUGUACUCAACGGGCUCUUCUUGAAUCUUCCUCUGAAAAUGGGGCCACAGAGAUAUCUGCUCAAGAAAUUCUGGACUCAGUGUCCCAGGGAAACAACCUAUGAUCUCAGAGAAGCAGGGGUGCCCAGGGCAGUCCUGACCCCCUGGAAGUGGAUGGAGAGCCUGAUGUCAUUUCUUGGAAUGAGGCAAAUGGCCAAGGCCUUCUUCCACCAUUUCUCGGCCUAUCCAUUUUCAGCUGAGAAAAUAAAAACACAUCAAAAGGAGAAUACAGAUAACAUAGUUCAGCCUGCCCUGCACCCAACAAGCCCUAUGUUGGAUCACUCUCUGGUACUGAGGAAAGGACACCUAAGGAGUAAACUCUGGGAGCCCACCAUGCAUUGCUGUCUGCCAGGGACCAAAAGGGAGUUCUCUUUCAAAGAAUAGCCUGACAGUUACAAGAAACAGCCCCCUAGGAGACAUCUCGCCUGGGAGACACCCUGCAGCCAUCCAUCUCCCU